UACGGGGGGAGCAAGCGUUGUUCGGAUUUACUGGGCGUAAAGGGCGCGUAGGCGGCCAGCGCAAGUCAGUUGUGAAAUCUCCGGGCUUAACUCGGAACGGUCAACUGAUACUGCGCGGCUAGAGUGCAGAAGGGGCAACUGGAAUUCUCGGUGUAGCGGUGAAAUGCGCAGAUAUCAGGAGGAACACCGGUGGCGAAGGCGGGUCUCUGGGCCGAUACUGACGCUGAGGAGCGAAAGCGUGGGGAGCGAACAGG
rnacentral:rRNA from 1 species